GAUGAAGAACGCAGCGAAAUGCGAUAAGUAAUGCGAAUUGCAGAAUUCCAGUGAGUCAUCGAAUCUUUGAACGCACAUUGCGCCCGCUAGUAUUCUGGCGGGCAUGCCUGUCCGAGCGUCAUUUCAACCCUCAAGCCCCCGGGCUUGGUGUUGGGGAUCGGCGAGCCUCCGCGCCCGCCGUCCCCUAAAUCUAGUGGCGGUCUCGCUGUAGCUUCCUCUGCGUAGUAGCACACCUCGCACUGGGAAACAGCGCGGCCACGCCGUUAAACCCCCAACUUCUGAACGUUUGACCUCGGAUCAGGUAGGAAUACCCGCUGAACUUAAGCAUAUCAAUAAGCGGAGGA
rnacentral:misc_RNA from 1 species